rnacentral:rRNA from 1 species
UACGUAGGGGGCAAGCGUUGUCCGGAAUCAUUGGGCGUAAAGAGCGCGUAGGCGGUCCGGUAAGUCCGCUCUGAAAGUCCGGGGCUCAACCCCGGGAGGCGGGCGGAUACUGUCGGGCUAGAGUCCGGAAGAGGCGAGUGGAAUUCCUGGUGUAGCGGUGAAAUGCGCAGAUAUCAGGAGGAACACCAAUGGCGAAGGCAGCUCGCUGGGACGUGACUGACGCUGAGGUGCGAAAGCGUGGGGAGCAAACAGG